GAUAGAUAAGGGACUUUAUGCCUAUUAAUAGUAGUAAUGUUGAACAUGUAUAUGUGCCUUUACAUGAUAUACAAGACAAUCAUUGGUUUUUAUUAGUUGUUGAUGUUGUGGAGGGACAUAAUUACGUUUUGGACUCUCUUGGCGUCAAUAAAG